ensembl:lncRNA
GAGAUGUGACUAGGUACUAGGGAUGGAGAUGUGACUAGGUACUAGGGAUGGAGAUGUGACUAGGUACUAGGGAUGGAGAUGUGACCAGGUGCUAGGGAUGGAGAUGUGACCAGGUGCUAGGGAUGGAGAUGUGACUAGGUACUAGGGAUGGAGAUGUGACUAGGUACUAGGGAUGGAAAUGUGACCAGGUACUUGGGAUGGAGAUGUGACUAGGUACUAGGGAUGGAGAUGUGACUAGGUGCUAGGGAUGGAGAUGUGACUAGGUACUAGGGAUGGAGAUGUGACUAGGUACUAGGGAUGGAGAUGUGACUAGGUACUAGGGAUGGAGAUGUGACUAGGUA